AUUGCAUCUUGACCUUUUGGAUAAGAUUAAGUGUAGUGUCUAUUCUUAUCAGUUUAAUAUCUUAUAAUCUGUCAUCUAUUCCAUGACAGUAUAUUAAAUGAAAUCUUGGUAUUAGGAACUGGAAUAGGAGUUUGCUCCAUCCAUUCUGCCUGGUACUGUAGUACUUCUAGGAGCAGUGUACUACAC